UCUCGAUUCGUCUAGUGGUUAGGAUACCUGCUUGUCACUGGAAGCCGUUGGCAUACCAUUCGCUGGUGACUUUGGUCCUGGAAGGGCAGAAUCCGCAGGUGGCCGGGGUUCAAUUCCCCGAUCGAGAG